rnacentral:rRNA from 1 species
UACGUAGGUGGCAAGCGUUGUCCGGAAUUAUUGGGCGUAAAGCGCGCGCAGGCGGUCCUUUAAGUCUGAUGUGAAAGCCCACGGCUCAACCGUGGAGGGUCAUUGGAAACUAGGAAACUUGAGUGCAGAAGAGAAGAGUGGAAUUCCACGUGUAGCGGUGAAAUGCGUAGAUAUCGCUUGGAACGCCGACGGCGAAAGCAGUCUGCUGGGGGUGUGCUGACGCUGAGACACGAAAGCCAGGGGAGCGAACGGG